rnacentral:rRNA from 1 species
GAUGAACGCUAGCGGCAGGCUUAAUACAUGCAAGUCGAGGGGCAGCACAGGUAGCAAUACUGGGUGGCGACCGGCAAACGGGUGCGGAACACGUACACAACUUACCUUCUGGUGGGGGAUAGCCUUUGGAAACGGAGAUUAAUACCCCAUAUUAUAUAUGAGCUGCAUGGUUUGUAUAUUAAAGAUUUAUUGCCGGAAGAUGGGUGUGCGUAUGAUUAGGUAGUUGGCGGGGUAACGGCCCACCAAGCCGACGAUCAUUAACUGGUGUGAGAGCACGUCCAGUCACACGGGCACUGAGACACGGGCCCGACUCCUACGGGGGGCAGCAGUAAGGAAUAUUGGUCAAUGGACGGAAGUCUGAACCAGCCAUGCCGCGUGGAGGAUGAAGGUCCUCUGGAUUGUAAACUUCUUUUAUAGGGGGCGAAAAAAGGGAAUUCUUUCUCGUCUGACGGUACCCUAUGAAUAAGCACCGGCUAACUCCGUGCCAGCCGCCGCAGUAAAAC